CAAGCGGUGGAGCAUGUGGUUUAAUUCGAUACUACGCGCAAAACCUUACCAGCCCUUGACAUAUGAACAACAAAACCUGUCCUUAACAGGAUGGUACUGACUUUCAUACAGGUGCUGCAUGGCUGUCGUCAGCUCGUGUCGUGAGAUGUUUGGUCAAGUCCUAUAACGAGCGAAACCCUCGUUUUGUGUUGCUGAGACAUGCGCCUAAGGAGAAAUUGCCACCGAAGUGAGCCGAGGAGCCGAGUGACGUGCCAGCGCUACUACUUGAUUGAGUGCCAGCACGUAGCUGUGCUUUCAGCAAGAAUUUCACCAUUGGGAGCCGGUGCCUUUCGAAGCACUUUCACGUGUGAACCGAAGUCGUCUUGCCCAAGACCCACGGAGACCUACCUAUAGUGACGUCAAAGUACCAGUGAGCAUGGAGGUUUGGUUGAAAUUGGUUACGACGACGUCGAGUUGGCGGCGGAGGAAGACUCGGCAUGAAGGCCAGCCGCCCGGUGGUGUGGUACGUAGUGGUAAUAGUACGCGCCCCGCUCCGAAACAAAGAAAAAGGUGCGUGCCGCACUCACGAGGGACUGCCAGUGAGAUACUGGAGGAAGGUGGGGAUGACGUCAAGUCCGCAUGGCCCUUAUGGGCUGGGCCACACACGUGCUACAAUGGCAAUGACAAUGGGAAGCAAGGCUGUAAGGCGGAGCGAAUCCGGAAAGAUUGCCUCAGUUCGGAUUGUUCUCUGCAACUCGGGAACAUGAAGUUGAAAUCGCUAGUAAUCGCGGAUCAGCAUGCCGCGGUGAAUAUGUACCCGGGCCCUGUACACACCGCCCGUCACACCCUGGGAAUUGGUUUCGCCCGAAGCAUCGGACCAAUGAUCACCCAUGACUUCUGUGUACCACUAGUGCCACAAAGGCCUUUGGUGGUCUUAUUGGCGCAUACCACGGUGGGGUCUUCGACUGGGGUGAAGUCGGAACAAGGUAGCCGUAGGGGAACCUGUGGCUG
rnacentral:rRNA from 1 species